rnacentral:misc_RNA from 1 species
AACAGAACCCCCGAGCGUUAUCCGGAUUCAUUGGGCGUAAAGCGUCUGUAGCCGGUUUAGCAAGUCUCAGGUUAAAUACCAAGGGCUUAACCUUUGGAAUGCUUGAGAAACUGCUAGACUAGAGGGCGUUAGGGGCUGAUGGAACUCUUGGUGGAGGGGUGAAAUCCGUUGAUAUCAAGAGGAACACCAAAAGCGAAGGCAUUCAGCUGGGGCGACCCUGACGGUGAGAGACGAAAGCGUGGGGAGCAAAAAGG